rnacentral:rRNA from 1 species
GCUCCCUACGGGAGGCAGCAGUGAGGAAUAUUGGUCAAUGGGCGGAAGCCUGAACCAGCCAAGUCGCGUGAGGGAAUAAGGCCCUACGGGUCGUAAACCUCUUUUGCCGGGGAGCAGGGGCCGGGACGCGUCCCGGCCCGGAGAGUACCCGGAGAAAAAGCAUCGGCUAACUACGUGCCAGCAGCCGCGGUAAUACGUAGGGGGCAAGCGUUAUCCGGAAUUAUUGGGCGUAAAGAGUACGUAGGUGGCAACCUAAGCGCAGGGUUUA